CAAGACAUAUCAACUAUUUCAUGCAUUUAUAACUCUUCAAUAUCGAAAAGAAAGGAUGAAAGUGAAGAGAUAAAAUCUUUGAAUAUGUCAAUAUGAUCCCCAAUUUCCAUUAUCAAUAAAUAUUAUCUACCCUAUUACAUGAGAAGAAGAAACACAUACAAAGGAACAAAUGCAACACAUAGCAACAUAUUUUCAUUUAUUUGUUUAUUAUAACAUUCUACCUUUUUUUUUUUCUUUUAUUACACCAUUGUACUUUCAAUAUUAAAAAAUUUCUAGGUAGAUUUUCCAAAUUACACAACAAUGGAAUAGGAAAAAAAGAAAAAAAAAAGGAAAAAUGGAUGCUAUUAUAAACAAAUCAAAAUAAAUAUGAUGAUAUUUCUUGCAUUUAACCCUAAAUUAAAACCAAAAAAGUAAGAAACUUUCUUCAAAUAACACAUUAUAUAUAAUUAAACUAAUAAAAAUCUAAUGAAAACCCCUUGAUCCUCUAGAUUGAUAAAGCUCCAACCUACCUUUAGAUUCCUGUAAAAGAUUCUCCACCUUUUCAAUCUGAAUCAAUUGAGACUGUUUGGACGCCCAUUCAAGAACAGUAAGCACUUCAGCCUGUGCUAAAUCUUCACUAUCAGGAACAUGAAAAGCAAUGUAACAAAGAAGCACCAAUGCAGGAAUUUGAACCAUUUGUUCACCAAAAUACACCAAUUGAAUCAAAUGUCGUGUUCCUCCAGCUGCAAUAAUGGCUUUUGAAUGAUCAAGAUGAAGGUAGUUUUCUUUACAGGUGAAUUUAGCAAGUGCGAUUGCAGCUUCUUUUGAAAUUUCAGCUUCACGUUCUUCAAGAAGCUGAACUAAGGGUUGGAUCAUGCGUGAUUCGGUUGCGCGAAAUGUUCUUGCUAAGUUCCCGAUUGAUUGGAUGCAUGGAAGAAGAAGUUUUGAAUUUGAAUCUGCUUUUUCGAUGAUUUGAAGGAGUUGUUCGAUUACAGCUUUGCAAGCGGGUGCGUUUGGUUUGAAAGCUGCUCUUCUUAGAUCAGAAUCUUCUUCUGCUACACCUGUGAUUUCCAUGAGUGCCAUGGCGGAAUUGUAUCUGACUUCUUCUGGGCCUUUUUCUAGUAAGACUGCGAAGCAGAGUAGAGCUCUUGAUUCGGUUAUGCUUCUGCAAAUGGUGGAGUUUUCUUUGGCGAGAUGCCAAAGUGCUUUGGCAGCCAUUGAUUUCAUGUAGGCUUUUGUUGCAGGGUCUUCUGAUUCUCUCCCUUUGUGUAAACUAAGGGAAAGGCUCGAGUUAUGAUGAAUGUUUUGCUUCUUGAUUGUAAUGUUUUCGGUUUUUUGAUUCUGAUUCGGGUUUAGGUUGCUAGGUUUUUGGCCAUCUUUCAUUCCCAUGGUGGUUGCAACUACACUGUGCAUUUUGAAAGGUUGAUUGUUGUUACCAGAAGGAUGUGGAACUCGACUCUUGUCUUCAUCUUCGUUUGUUGAUUUGUUGGAAGGAUUCUGAUGAUGAACGCCAUUGGAGUUGUUGUUGCUGUUGUUGUUGUUGCUGCCGUUUGUGUUGUUGCUAGCUAAAACAACAGCGUGAAUUGAGGUGGGUUUGUUGCUAGUGAUUGCGUACUUACUGUGUUCUUCAACUGUUUCGAACGCGAGAUGUCCAACGAGUAAUCGAACGAUGUUGUGUUGUGCGAAGAGAUCUUGACAUUUUGGAUAAUGAGCUACGAGCUCCGAUACAGCCCAGGCGACAACUGCUUGCACUUUCAUGGGACCUUCUUUGAGAAUUUUAACAAACACCGAGCAUACACCGGCGUGAAUCAUGUGUUCGACGCUCUCAGGAUCACGACCUAGCAAUCCGAUUGCAGACGCAGCGUUCUCCUGACCUUCUGGUUUCCCUUCUUUCACCAAUUUCAGCAACGGAUUGACUCCGCCUUCUUCAAUUAUCAGCUUCCCAUACCGAUCGUUGUCUCUCGCAAGCGAGACAAGCGACGCCGCCGCGUCGGACCUGUCAUCUAGGCUUCCGGUGUACAAAAUCGCGAUUUGCUCCCAAAUUAAACACAAAAUAGGUUCAUUAGCAGCGAUCGGAGGGAGACCGAGGUACUCAUCGGUUGAAUUGUUAGGAGCGGAGACGCGUAACAGCCACGAGACAUCACCUAUGGAAUUCUCAAGCUGUGACGACAUCUUACGAAACGCAGCUGCCGGUAUGAGAGUAAACACUCGUUUCACAAGGCCGUUGUUCCGGCAUUUUAGGGUUAGAGAAAGUGCUUUUUCAAGAACCUGCUCUGUGUCGUCAAUAAUACGUCUUGUAGGACGUUCGUAGAGAUCGUUACUCGCACGCGCCGCUUGUCGGAGGAGUCCGGCGAGCUUUUCCGUCUUGGAUUUGAGUUCAGCGCAGUCUUGCUUGUUGAUACAGGCUUCGUCGGCGAGCUUGAUGACUUGGUCGGCUAACUGGAUCGGCUUUGCGAGGAUCUGUUUGACUAGGUCCGCCAUGGAUGAUGGCUGGAGCAAAAAUGGUAGGUGGAUGAAGUGGAAUUUGAAGAUGAAAGAAUGAAAGAUGGAAUUGAAGAGUAAAUUUUGGGGGAAUGUAAGGAGAAGAGGAGGUGGGAGAUGAUGACUUGGUCGUUGAUGUUCCAAAGAGUAGACGGGCUUUACAAAGGUCUAAGUCAAAACUUCUUUACAUAUAGUCUUCGUCUCUCCUCUUAUAAUAUACUACUUUAUUUACUUCUAUAAUAUAAUUACUUAUAAAAUAUUUUUUCAAUUUUGUAAAUCAUAUAGUAGUAUUUAAUUAUAGGCAUCUCCAACCCAAUACCAAAGGUCGAAAACCCACUUUAUACAUCAAAAUGUGUGGAGUAUGAGAGUAUCUCCAAUUCCUAUUUUAUUUUCUAAAUCUACUUAUAUUAUUCUUUUGUAACAUUACUAUUUGUCAAAUUUUAGUCCAUUUGUUUUUAAUAGUAUUCUAUUUAGCUUAAUUUAUAUAAAUAUUAUAUAUUAUAUCCUAAAUAUAACAAUUAUUUAUUAUUAUAUUAUAUUAUAUAAUACGUUAACAUUAGUUAACUAUAAAUGCAAGUGAUCACCAGCCUAACUGGUUGUGCUGCAUCCUGGGUUAUAGGCAUCAGUGGGUGAGGUCAAGAGUUCUACUCUUGGNUGGAAUUUAUAUCUAAUUAUGACAUUGUACAUCUAACCUUUUUUCUUAUUAGAACACUAUGUUUGAAAAAUCAACACAAUUAUAGAAGUAGAAAUUGUAGUGUAUUUUAAUGACAUUGCAAUAACUAGUUUGACUUUUAAAAGUACAAUACUUUUCAAAGUAAGAUACGUAACUUCACUUAUUUGUAGAGCUUGCAAAAAUCGACCAAACCCAAUCUGAACCAAUCCAAAAUUAAAAGGUUCGGUUGAGAUUUUCAACCUAUUUAGGAUAAAUUGGUCAACCCGUCUAACCUAUUUAAUUAAAUAGGUUGGAUUGGGUAAAUGUUGUCAAAACGUUUUCAACUCACCAACCUGUUUAACUUUAAUAUAUAUAUUUAAUUUAAUAAUUAUUUAAAUAGUACCAUGUACUAAUCUAAGUAUGAAUUUAUAAAUUAAAAUGUUGUAUUAUUAUUUAUGUUUUAAAAAAUACAAUCCUAACUGCUAUCUUUUUUCUUUGCGCUGACAACACUAGUUACUCUUCAAAAUCAUUUCGAAAUUACAUAUCUUUAAUGUUAUUUGAAAAUUCUCUUUGUAUUUGUGAAUUGGGAUUGUGCUUUUAUUAUACUUUGAAAUUUUUAAACUAACUUAAGUGGUGUAAUAUUUAGUUAAUUUAUUUACUUUUUAAUUUUAAGUGGGUUAACCUAGGUUUAACCCAUUUAUUUAAUAAACUGGAUUGGGAAUUACAUAAACAGGUCAAACCGAUGACAAUCCAUUUAUUUGUAAGGUUGGGUUGGAUUGGAAAUAUCUACCCAUUUAAAUAAAAAUGUUGGGUUGGAUUUAAAUCUUCAGCGGAUUAAACUCAAACCCAAUUCAGAUCGACUCAUUGUCAGCUCUACUUAUUUGUGUAUAAUAUCAUCUUACUUUCAUUUUUUUCCUUUUCCAACAUUGUACAUUCAUUUCAAUUUUGUUAUGGAAUUAUAGUUUAAAGAAUCAACCCAACAAUGUAGCAUCCUACAUUCAAUUUCUUGUUAUUAGAACAUACGUUUUCAAAAAUAAAAACCAUACCAUUUAUAAGAUCAAAAAAUUGUUUUGUAUUUGAAUAACAUUGUUACAAUUACAUAUAUUUUUCAAAGUAUAGUACUACACUUGAAAGACAAAAAAGUGGAUAUGCUUAAUAAACAAAUCAAAAAAAGUACACAACUAUUUUAUGCAUUUAUGAGAAGAAAAAGUACGCAAGACAUAUCAACUAUUUCAUGCAUUUAUAACUCUUCAAUAUCGAAAAGAAAGGAUGAAAGUGAAGAGAUAAAAUCUUUGAAUAUGUCAAUAUGAUCCCCAAUUUCCAUUAUCAAUAAAUAUUAUCUACCCUAUUACAUGAGAAGAAGAAACACAUACAAAGGAACAAAUGCAACACAUAGCAACAUAUUUUCAUUUAUUUGUUUAUUAUAACAUUCUACCUUUUUUUUUUUCUUUUAUUACACCAUUGUACUUUCAAUAUUAAAAAAUUUCUAGGUAGAUUUUCCAAAUUACACAACAAUGGAAUAGGAAAAAAAGAAAAAAAAAAGGAAAAAUGGAUGCUAUUAUAAACAAAUCAAAAUAAAUAUGAUGAUAUUUCUUGCAUUUAACCCUAAAUUAAAACCAAAAAAGUAAGAAACUUUCUUCAAAUAACACAUUAUAUAUAAUUAAACUAAUAAAAAUCUAAUGAAAACCCCUUGAUCCUCUAGAUUGAUAAAGCUCCAACCUACCUUUAGAUUCCUGUAAAAGAUUCUCCACCUUUUCAAUCUGAAUCAAUUGAGACUGUUUGGACGCCCAUUCAAGAACAGUAAGCACUUCAGCCUGUGCUAAAUCUUCACUAUCAGGAACAUGAAAAGCAAUGUAACAAAGAAGCACCAAUGCAGGAAUUUGAACCAUUUGUUCACCAAAAUACACCAAUUGAAUCAAAUGUCGUGUUCCUCCAGCUGCAAUAAUGGCUUUUGAAUGAUCAAGAUGAAGGUAGUUUUCUUUACAGGUGAAUUUAGCAAGUGCGAUUGCAGCUUCUUUUGAAAUUUCAGCUUCACGUUCUUCAAGAAGCUGAACUAAGGGUUGGAUCAUGCGUGAUUCGGUUGCGCGAAAUGUUCUUGCUAAGUUCCCGAUUGAUUGGAUGCAUGGAAGAAGAAGUUUUGAAUUUGAAUCUGCUUUUUCGAUGAUUUGAAGGAGUUGUUCGAUUACAGCUUUGCAAGCGGGUGCGUUUGGUUUGAAAGCUGCUCUUCUUAGAUCAGAAUCUUCUUCUGCUACACCUGUGAUUUCCAUGAGUGCCAUGGCGGAAUUGUAUCUGACUUCUUCUGGGCCUUUUUCUAGUAAGA
rnacentral:lncRNA from 1 species